rnacentral:rRNA from 1 species
GAUGAACGCUGGCGGCGUGCCUAAUACAUGCAAGUCGAGCGAGCAGGUGGGGAGCUGGCUCCUCUGACGUUGGCGGCGGACGGGUGAGUAACACGUGUAUAACCUACCUAUAAGACUGGGAUAACUUCGGGAAACCGGAGCUAAUACCGGAUAAUAUAUUGAACCGCAUGGUUCCAUAGUGAAAGACGGUUUUGCUGUCACUUAUAGAUGGAUCCGCGCCGCAUUAGCUAGUAGGUAAGGUGACGGCUUACCCAGGCUACGAGGCGUAGCCGACCUGAGCGGGACAUCGCCCACACUGGAAGUGAGGAACAGUAGCGACACCGACGGGGGGACGCAGCCGGGACUCCUACGCGAAGGAGGAGAGCCUGAUGGUGCACAGUCGCGUGAGUGAUGAUGGUGUCAUGACGGUAAAACUAUGAUAGUAGGGGAGAACUAAUGUGUAAUCAACUAUGAACGUCAUGACGGUACCAAAUCAGAAAGCCCCGGCUAACUACGUG